UAAAAUGGGCUAACACUGAAAGAACCUUGCAGAAUCUCAGCAACGUCACAGAGGACAUUGUUAGCACAGCCAGCGGGCUCCUGCUGGGCUGAGUUUGUGGGUAAUCCAAGCCUCGGCAGGUACAGUUCCUCCCUCAGGGCCCAGGACACAGUGAGCAUACAAUAGACAUUAGCUGCUGUGGUGUCUUGAUUUCAAGCCCAGUGCAGAUGCAUCUGACUUACGAAACUUCAGUGACACCUGCUCUGUGCCAGACACUGAAGAUGGAGCAGUGAACAGCACUGACCCAGCCUGUCCUCCUGUUGCCUGCAGGCCAGAAGCAAGGUCUCGCUGUGUUACCCUGGCUGGAGUGCAGUGGCUACUUACAGGCAUGAUCAUAGCAUACUGCAGCCUCGAACUCCUGGACUAGAGCAGUUCUCCUGCCUCAGCCUCCAGAGCAGCUGGGACUGCAGACACGCACCACAGAGCCCAGCCUGAGUCAUUUUGAUUCUGUAACUGGCUUCCUCUCGGCGGGCAGGCUCACACCCUCCACCCCCAGCUGGAGAUGGAAGGAGGAUGCUCACCGCCCA
rnacentral:lncRNA from 1 species